rnacentral:rRNA from 1 species
CUAGCGUUGCUCGGAAUCACUGGGCGUAAAGGGUGCGUAGGCGGGUCUUUAAGUCAGGGGUGAAAUCCUGGAGCUCAACUCCAGAACUGCCUUUGAUACUGAAGAUCUUGAGUUCGGGAGAGGUGAGUGGAACUGCGAGUGUAGAGGUGAAAUUCGUAGAUAUUCGCAAGAACACCAGUGGCGAAGGCGGCUCACUGGCCCGAUACUGACGCUGAUGCACGAAAGCGUGGGGAGCAAACAGG